UACGUAGGGUGCAAGCGUUAUCCGGAAUUAUUGGGCGUAAGGAGCUCGUAGGCGGUUUGUCGCGUCUGCUGUGAAAACCGGAGGCUCAACCUCCGGCCUGCAGUGGGUACGGGCAAACUAGAGUGCGGUAGGGGAGAUUGGAAUUCCUGGUGUAGCGGUGGAAUGCGCAGAUAUCAGGAGGAACACCGGUGGCGAAGGCGGGAUCCUGGGCCAGUACUGACGCUGAGGAGCGAAAGCGUGGGGAGCAAACAGG
rnacentral:rRNA from 1 species